CCUACGGGGUGCAGCAGUGGGGAAUAUUGGACAAUGGGCGAAAGCCUGAUCCAGCCAUGCCGCGUGUGUGAAGAAGGCCUUCGGGUUGUAAAGCACUUUCAGUGGGGAAGAAAGCCUUGGGGCUAAUACCCUCGAGGAAGGACAUCACCCACAGAAGAAGCACCGGCUAACUCCGUGCCAGCAGCCGCGGUAAUACGGAGGGUGCGAGCGUUAAUCGGAAUUACUGGGCGUAAAGCGCGCGUAGGCGGUCUGAUAAGCCGGUUGUGAAAGCCCCGGGCUCAACCUGGGAACGGCAUCCGGAACUGUCAGGCUAGGGUGCAGGAGAGGAAGGUAGAAUUCCCGGUGUAGCGGUGAAAUGCGUAGAGAUCGGGAGGAAUACCAGUGGCGAAGGCGGCCUUCUGGACUGACACUGACGCUGAGGUGCGAAAGCGUGGGUAGCAAACAGGAUUAGAUACCCUAGUAGUC
rnacentral:rRNA from 1 species